rnacentral:snoRNA from 1 species
AAGGUGGACGAUGACAACAUCGUCUCUCACAUCCUAGCCGGGCUAGAUGAAGACUUCGACCCGGUGGUGUCCGCCAUGUCUUCCCGGGUGGAGUCGGUGACUAUGGCCGAGUUGUUUUCAUAGCUGCUAAGCUUCAAAA